AGUCUAAGUCGUCUUUUCUCUUAAACUACUAAUCCUCCUCUGUAUAUUUCGAGAAUACAGCGAAUGCUACAACAGAUAUUAGCCGGUGUUAGACGGCCUUUUUGAAAGGUCAGUGCAAUCACCUCGCGAAUAAUUAGUGUAAUUUCUAAUUAAAUAAUAGAGUACAUAUAAAAACAGAAUUAAUGGUUGGUAUAUUAAGUACUAUUCGUUGAGUAGUUGAGUAAGGAAGUCUUAUUUUAACAUUAUGUAAGUACAUUAAUAAAAAUUGUAAUAUAAUUUUAUAUAAACAAAACCUUUAACAACAGUUAAAUGAACUAGAGUCUAAGUCGUCUUUUCUCUUAAACUACUAAUCCUCCUCUGUAUAUUUCGAGAAUACAGCGAAUGCUACAACAGAUAUUAGCCGGUGUUAGACGGCCUUUUUGAAAGGUCAGUGCAAUCACCUCGCGAAUAAUUAGUGUAAUUUCUAAUUAAAUAAUAGAGUACAUAUAAAAACAGAAUUAAUGGUUGGUAUAUUAAGUACUAUUCGUUGAGUAGUUGAGUAAGGAAGUCUUAUUUUAACAUUAUAUGCACUAUCACAAAGAUAAAAAGGGCAAAGAUGGCCUCCAUGUGAAAAAUAGUGAACGCAACUAAGUGUAACAACAUAUUAUUAAUUAUAUUAAUAUUCUAAUAGAUAAUUAUUAAUGAUCAAUUUGCAAUAUUUGAGAAGCUAAUUAGAGAAUUAUUAGGGAACUAGUUCAAUUUCAAUUAGAUAAACUUAGAUGUAGCCAAACAUUAGAUUAUUAAUCACUUACAUAAAAAUAUAAUCAAGCCUAUAAAAAAAUAUCAGAAUUAAAAAUAUAAUCAGUUA